rnacentral:rRNA from 1 species
AUGAAGGGUUUGAUCCUGGCUCAGAAUGAACGUUAGCGGCGUGGAUUAGGCAUGCAAGUCGAGCGAGAAGUCUUUCAUUGAUCCCUUCGGGGUGAAGUGACUGACGGACAGCGGCAGACGGCGUAGUAAGGCGUAGGUUACGUACCCUUGAGUCCGGGACAGCUACGGGAAACUGUAGGUAAUACCGGAUGCCCUCCCAGGACAUGAUCGUCCCGGGAGGAAAGGCGCAAAUUCUGCUCUUGGAGCGGCCUACGUGGUAUUAGCUAGUUGGUGAGGUAAUGGCUCACCAAGGCUACGAUGCCUAGGGGGUGUGAGAGCAUGGCCCCCACGACUGGGACUGAGACACUGCCCAGACACCUACGGGUGGCUGCAGUCGAGAAUAUUCCGCAAUGGGCGAAAGCCUGACGGAGCGACGCCGCGUGUGGGAUGAAGGCCCUUGGGUUGUAAACCACUGUCAGAGGGGAUGAA